GUCUACAGCCAUGCUACCCUGAACAAGCUGGAUCCUGUCUGAUCUCGUAAGCUAAGCAGGGUUGGGCCUGGUUAGUACUUGGAUGGGAGACCACCUAGGAAGACCAGGUGCUGUAGGCA
rnacentral:rRNA from 1 species